rnacentral:rRNA from 1 species
CAAUAGCGUAUAUUAAAGUUGUUGCAGUUAAAAAGCUCGUAGUUGGAUUUCUGAUCGAGACAUCAGGUCGGGUCCGAGAGGAUCAUGUACUUUGAUUUGUUUUGAUCAUCCUUGGGGAGAGCAUUUCUGGCAUUCAGUUGUCGGGAUUGGGAUCCUCAUCGUUUACUGUGAAAAAAUUAGAGUGUUCAAAGCAGGCCUCGGCCUCUGAAUACAUUAGCAUGGAAUAAUAAGAUAGGACUUUGGUGGUCUAUUUUGUUGGUUUGCACGCCAAAGUAAUGAUUAAUAGGGAUAGUUGGGGGUAUUCGUAUUCAAUUGUCAGAGGUGAAAUUCUUGGAUUUAUGGAAGACGAACUACUGCGAAAGCAUUUACCAAGGAUGUUUUCAUUGA